AAUUACUAAUUCUUUUAAUAAAACUAAUUGAUUAAUAAUUGUAAUCAUUUUAGGAUCUUUAAUGGAUAACAUUCUUUCCAGUGUUUUUCAGUGAUUUCCAACUCAACUUAGGUUUGAGUGCUUUAAGAAUCCUUCACAAGUGGGGACAUUUGGGUUGUCGUACAGCCACCUUGCUUAUAACCUCUCUAAAGUUGAAUUUAUAUGGUUAACAUUGUACUUGUAGUGAAAUAUCAACAUCAUAGGUGGGAGUGAAGGAGCUAAAUGGAAUCCCUCAAAUGUAGUAAAACAUGUUUUUUAAUUAAUGAAAUUACUUUUAAUUGUAGAAAAUACCUGGAAAACAGUCUUUCUUACAACCCCUGCUUGCUCUAGCCGUCCCGUCAGUCUUGUAAGUUGGGUUGAUAAUAGGAAACAGGAGGCGUGUUUAACCCGCAGGGCUUUCCGUAACUAGCUCUGUCAACCAUUAUGGAAAGAAAGAAUUCCGAAGCCUUUGACAAGGCUUCGUAACUAAAGGACGAUCGGUGUCACUCGCAAUAUCUAAGGAUUCAACAUUUAUUUGUUUAAAUCGUAAGCCUACAAUGUGUCCUGUCAGGUAUCUGUCAUUGUUUAUCAUUUUGGGCUUUGUGCGGCUCUCCCUCACUGCGGAGGGGAUUCUAUGCGAGAUUCCGAAGGAAGAUGCUGGAGCAUGGGGUUCAUCUCCUCUGAGGUUCUCCUCCACUGAGACUUUGGCGACUCGAGGAUUCUCUCAGUGUGUCAGCAUGCACAUUCGGCUUCGACCCGAAGACUUCAACCAUACAACAAACCAUACGAUAAUGAUUAUUAUCCUGUCAUCAGGUAUACAUAUUACCAUCAAGAAGUUAAAUAAUAAGGUUGGACAUUCUCUUCUCACUUGCAAUGAAAUAAAAGUCAUUCUCAAAAAGAACUUUGGAAAAUAAUAAUAUCAGCUAAAUUGUUUGUCUUCUUGAUUUCAGUGGAGGAUAGG